UACGUAGGGUGCGAGCGUUAAUCGGAAUUACUGGGCGUAAAGCGUGCGCAGGCGGUUUUGCAAGCCGGAUGUGAAAUCCCCGGGCUUAACCUGGGAAUGGCAUUUGGGACUGCAAGGCUGGAGUGCGGCAGAGGAGACUGGAAUUCCUGGUGUAGCAGUGAAAUGCGUAGAUAUCAGGAGGAAUACCGAUGGCGAAGGCAGCCCCCUGGGAUAACACUGACGCUCAUGCACGAAAGCGUGGGGAGCAAACAGG
rnacentral:rRNA from 1 species